GUUGCAAGCCUGUGUACAUGUUGAUAUUAAAUACGUCAAGAAAAAACUCCGAAACAACAUGUCUCAACUAAUCUGUCUCUUCCUUGCCUUGACAGCAAUUAUUUGAAUGUCGGGAUUUUUCGUGGCACCUGUCGAAGGGAAAAAGUGUCCUCCUGCACUCGCUGACUGCAAGCAUUUGUUUUCUACGAUAAUCUGCAAGGAUAUAUGCCCCAGGGGAAAGAAAUGAAGUAAAGGAAAUUGAUUUGAAUCUGGAUGAAAACUUUGGAUGCAGCUGUUUCUGUUACUAUCAUGUAACCGGAGAUUGGAAAUAAAUAAUACAUUAUA